rnacentral:rRNA from 1 species
UACGGAAGGCAGCAGUGGGGAAUAUUGCACAAUGGGCGAAAGCCUGAUGCAGCUAUGCCGCGUGUAUGAAGAAGGCCUUAGGGUUGUAAAGUACUUUUCAUCGGGGAGGAAAAAACAAAACUAAUAAUUUUAUUUCUUGACGUUACCCGAAAAAGAAGCACCGGCUAACUCCGUGCCAGCAGCCGCGGUAAUACGGAGGGUGCUAGCGUUAAUCAGAAUUACUGGGCGUAAAGAGCACGUAGGUGGUUUUUUUAAAGUCAGAUGUGAAAUCCCUGGGCUUAACCUAGGAACUGCAUUUUGAAACUGAAAUACUAGAGUAUCGUAGAGGGAGGUAGAAUUCUAGGUGUAGCGGUGAAAAUGCGUAGAUAUCUGGAGGAAUACCUGUGGCGAAAAGCGGCCUCCUAAACGAAUACUGACACUGAGGUGCGAAAGCUGGGGAGCAAACAGGAUUAGAUACC